rnacentral:rRNA from 1 species
AAUAUUGGGCAAUGGACGAAAGUCUGACCCAGCCAUGCCGCGUGGAGUAUGAAGGUCCUCUGGAUUGUAAACUUCUUUUAUCUGGGAAGAAAUCUACGGUUUCCACUGUAGUUGACGGUACCAGAUGAUUAAGCACCGGCUAACUCCGUGCCAGCAGCCGCGGUAAUACGGAGGGUGCAAGCGUUAUCCGGAUUCACUGGGUUUAAAGGGUGCGCAGGUGGGCUGGUAAGUCCGUGGUGAAAUCUCUGAGCUUAACUCAGAAACUGCCGUGGAUACUAUCAGUCUUGAAUAUCGCGGAGGUAAGCGGAAUAUGUCAUGUAGCGGUGAAAUGCUUAGAUAUGACAUGGAACACCAAUUGCGAAGGCAGCUUACUACACGAUUAUUGACGCUGAGGCACGAAAGCGUGGGGAGCAAACAGG